rnacentral:rRNA from 1 species
GACGUAGGGGGGCGAGCGUUGUCCGGAUUUAUUGGGCGUAAAGCGUGCGUAGGCGGCUGCGCAAGUCGGGUGUGAAACCCCGGGGCUCAACCCCGGAACUGCAUCCGAUACUGCGUGGCUAGAGGUAGGUAGGGGAGAUCGGAAUUCCUGGUGUAGCGGUGAAAUGCGCAGAUAUCAGGAGGAACACCGGUGGCGAAGGCGGAUCUCUGGUCGACCUCUGACGCUGAGACGCGAAAGCGUGGGGAGCGAACGGG